rnacentral:rRNA from 1 species
CAGCAGCCGCCACGGUAAUACGUAGGGUGCAAGCGUUAAUCGGAAUUACUGGGCGUAAAGCGUGCGCAGGCGGUUUGUUAAGACAGAUGUGAAAUCCCCGGGCUCAACCUGGGAACUGCAUUUGUGACUGGCAGGCUAGAGUAUGGCAGAGGGGGGUGGAAUUCCGCGUGUAGCAGUGAAAUGCGUAGAUAUGCGGAGGAACACCGAUGGCGAAGGCAGCCCCCUGGGCCUGUACUGACGCUCAUGCACGAAAGCGUGGGGAGCAAACAGGAUUAGAUACCCCCGUAGUCCCUGUCUCUUU